rnacentral:rRNA from 1 species
CAGGUGGCCGCAGAGAAUAGGCCCAAGCGACUGUUUACCAAAAACAUAGGUUUCUGCUAAGUCGCAAGACGAUGUAUAGGAGCUGACGCCUGCCCGGUGCUGGAAGGUUAAGGGGAUCUGUUAGAGCAAUCGAAGCAGUGAACUUAAGCCCCAGUAAACGGCGGCCGUAACUAUAACGGUCCUAAGGUAGCGAAAUUCCUUGUCGGGUAAGUUCCGACCCGCACGAAAGGCGUAACGAGUUGGGCACUGUCUCAACAACAGACUCGGUGAAAUUGUAAUUCCGGUGAAGAUGCCGGAUACCUGCGACAGGACGGAAAGACCCCAUGGAGCUUUACUGUAGCUUGACAUUGGGUCUUGGUACUACAUGUACAGGAUAGGUGGGAGGCUUUGAAACCAGGACGCCAGUUUUGGCGGAGCCAUCCUUGGGAUACCACCCUUGUAGUACUGGGACUCUAACCAUAGGCCAUGAAUCUGGUCUUGGGACACUGUCAGGUGGGCAG